rnacentral:rRNA from 1 species
AUUGAACGCUGGCGGCAGGCCUAACACAUGCAAGUCGAACGGUAACAGGAAGCAGCUUGCUGCUUUGCUGACGAGUGGCGGACGGGUGAGUCAUGUCUGGGAAACUGCCCGAUGGAGGGGGAUAACUACUGGAAACGGUAGCUAAUACCGCAUAACGUCGCAAGACCAAAGAGGGGGACCUUAGGGCCUCUUGCCAUCGGAUGUGCCCAGAUGGGAUUAGCUAGUAGGUGGGGUAACGGCUCACCUAGGCGACGAUCCCUAGCUGGUCUGAGAGGAUGACCAGCCACACUGGAACUGGAACACGGUCCAGACUCCUACGGGAGGCAGCAGUGGGGAAUAUUGCACAGUGGGCGCAAGCCUGAUGCAGCCAUGCCGCGUGUAUGAAGAAGGCCUUCGGGUUGUAAAGUACUUUCAGCGGGGAGGAAGGGAGUAAAGUUAAUACCUUUGCUCAUUGACGUUACCCGCAGAAGAAGCACCGGCUAACUCCGUG